GUUGUUGUGGCCGAGUGGUUAAGUCAAUAAACUAGAAAUCCAUUGAUGUUUCCCUGCACAGGUUCAAAUCCUGCUGAUAACC